AAAUUGAAGAGUUUGAUCAUGGCUCAGAUUGAACGCUGGCGGCAGGCCUAACACAUGCAAGUCGAGCGGAAACGACACUAACAAUCCUUCGGGUGCGUUAAUGGGCGUCGAGCGGCGGACGGGUGAGUAAUGCCUAGGAAAUUGCCUUGAUGUGGGGGAUAACCAUUGGAAACGAUGGCUAAUACCGCAUAAUGCCUACGGGCCAAAGAGGGGGACCUUCGGGCCUCUCGCGUCAAGAUAUGCCUAGGUGGGAUUAGCUAGUUGGUGAGGUAAUGGCUCACCAAGGCGACGAUCCCUAGCUGGUCUGAGAGGAUGAUCAGCCACACUGGAACUGAGACACGGUCCAGACUCCUACGGGAGGCAGCAGUGGGGAAUAUUGCACAAUGGGCGAAAGCCUGAUGCAGCCAUGUCGCGUGUAUGAAGAAGGCCUUCGGGUUGUAAAGUACUUUCAGUUGUGAGGAAGGGGGUAGCGUUAAUAGCGCUGUCUCUUGACGUUAGCAACAGAAGAAGCACCGGCUAACUCCGUGCCAGCAGCCGCGGUAAUACGGAGGGUGCGAGCGUUAAUCGGAAUUACUGGGCGUA
rnacentral:rRNA from 1 species